rnacentral:rRNA from 1 species
CUACGGGGCGCUCCAGUAGGGAAUAUUGGACAAUGGGCGAAAGCCUGAUCCAGCAACGCCGCGUGCACGAUGACGGCCUUCGGGUUGUAAAGUGCUUUUAGAGGAGAUGAGAAAGGACAGUAUCCUCUGAAUAAGCCUCGGCGAACUACGUGCCAGCAGCCGCGGUAAAACGUAGGAGGCAAGCGUUAUCCGGAUUUAUGGGGCGUAAAGCGCGUGCAGGCGGUUUGACAAGUUGGAUGUGAAAGCUCCCGGCUUAACUGGGAGAGGUCGUUCAAAACUGUCAGACUAGAGAAUGGGAGAGGGAGGUGGAAUUCCGGGUGUAGUGGUGAAAUGCGUAGAUAUCCGGAGGAACACCAGUGGCGAAAGCGGCCUCCUAGACCAUUUCUGACGCUAAGACGCGAAAGCUAGGGUAGCAAACGGGAUUAGAUACCCCGGUAGUC